rfam:Schistosoma curassoni strain Dakar, Senegal genome assembly, scaffold: SCTD_contig0017902
GUUCAGAUGACAAGUCCUAAAUAGGACGAAAUGCACAUUCUGGAU